CCUACGGGAGGCAGCAGUGGGGAAUAUUGGACAAUGGGCGCAAGCCUGAUCCAGCAAUGCCGCGUGAGUGAUGAAGGCCUUAGGGUCGUAAAGCUCUUUUACCAGGGAUGAUAAUGACAGUACCUGGAGAAUAAGCUCCGGCUAACUCCGUGCCAGCAGCCGCGGUAAUACGGAGGGAGCUAGCGUUGUUCGGAAUUACUGGGCGUAAAGCGUACGUAGGCGGUUAUUCAAGUCAGAGGUGAAAGCCCGGGGCUCAACCCCGGAACGGCCUUUGAAACUAGGUAGCUAGAAUCUUGGAGAGGUCAGUGGAAUUCCGAGUGUAGAGGUGAAAUUCGUAGAUAUUCGGAAGAACACCAGUGGCGAAGGCGACUGACUGGACAAGUAUUGACGCUGAGGUACGAAAGCGUGGGGAGCAAACAGGAUUAGAUACCCUGGUAGUCCACGCCGUAAACGAUGAUAACUAGCUGUCCGGGCACUUGGUGCCUGGGUGGCGCAGCUACGACAUUAAGUUAUUCCGUCCGUCGGGGUAGGUACGGUCGCGAAGAAUUAAAACGUUAAAAGGUAAAGUUAGUACGGCGUGAGACGUCGCCGAACGGACGACCGACGAGGGGAGGUAGG
rnacentral:rRNA from 1 species